rnacentral:lncRNA from 1 species
GGAUAAAACUAGUUGGUGAACAAUUGGAUCUUAAUGUCAACUGCAUCUGUUUCAACAAUGAUGUGAAAAUCAUUGCAAACAAGAGAAUGAGCUUCCAGUAAAGAAGUAAAAAUAAUUCUUUUGCAAGGAUUUGACUUUUUACCUAGUCUUUGAUUAGUCCUACAAUAAACUAGAACCCACGGUCAUGUUGAAACAUUUAUGCCAAUAUUCCCAUAUCAACAAUGAUUCCAUGUUUAUGUGCUGAUGAAAAUCCAAUGAUUCCAGUGGUGCAUUUUCUUUCAUGACAUCUAGCAAGUCGACAUCCCAUGUCUCCAAGGA